rnacentral:lncRNA from 1 species
UCAUGGUGGUCCCUAGGUGAUUGUAACUGUUCCCCACCUGGAUUGAAGGGAAGGGGGGGCUUCAUUUAUUGCCACUCACCCUCCUCCUCCCCCCUCCCACUCCUUCCUCGUGUGUUUGUAUAUUGCCAAUGUAGCCAAUUUGCAUCCAUCAUGGAAUUCAAAUUUGGGUCUUGGAGAGGGGGAUUGAGGUCUUGGAGAGGGGGAUGGAUGAAAUGGAUGAAAAUCUGUUAGGGGGGUAUUGGAUGUCCAACUGUGGUGAUUCUAACUGAUCCUCUUCCAAUGCCUACAAUUGGUUUGACAGUUGAUGUGUAUGAUGGAAUACAGUGACUUUCACAAUGUAAGCAAAUUUAAUUUAAUUUUCCAAUAAUAUAUGUUGAUAUUUAUAUUUUUUUACGGCCUAAUUUAUCUGUCUAAAUUUAAAAUCUACAAACAAACUAUAAGUAUAUUUAGAAAGAAAUGCAAGAGGAAGUAUUAAGCUAGAUAGAUGGAUCAU